UACGAACAACAUCGAUCAAUUUCUUUUUUUUAUUUGUACACCUUCUCACAACUUUAUCUUCAGUUGUGAUGUGAAUAUUGACACUGAUCUACGAACCAUUGAAAUGCAUUAGCCAUGGUAGCUGUGACGUCCCGUUACGUCCAACAGAGUCAGGCGUAACGGAAGCCGUCACUUCAGAGUUGCAUCAGGAUCAGUUAAGGAAAACAGUAUCAUGUACAAGACGCAGCAGCUGCCAUGAGUAGGCAAGUUUUUAUUACAUAGACACCUCAAGUGUCGACUAAGCCUAAGUGACCAUGACGAUAGAUCGUCACCCAUUUCUAGUGCGAGCCUUCUAGACCAACCAUGGAGGGCAUCUACUCUCCAUAGUCUUGAUUGCCAACAUCCUCAUAAUCAUACUCCACUUCCGAAUAACCAGAGUCGUCAAGAUCACCAGACUCAUCAUAAGUACCAUUCUCUAGUGCCUCAGAGUUCUCAUAACUCCCUUGUUCUGAGAAAAAACAUAAGCGCAACUGAGUACAUAUAAAAUACGUAAUCCGCAAGUCGCAGGGAAAAGUGGAUGUAUGAGUUUUUUUAAAGAGGAAAAACUUUAUCGGCCAUGGCUACCACCACCGAGCCAUUAGCUUAAAAUACUUUGUAGGUCAAAAAAAUUAUUUUCCCUUAACCUAUUAUGUUGAAAAUUAAUUUUAUUUAUAAAAUCUACUAGCGACAGAGCAAUGUGGGAUCUUACAUCCUGUGUUAGAGAAAAACCCACACGACGCACUUCCAACCCCGAAAGCUGGGAGUGAUAUCACAUUUAUUCUGAUCAGAGGUGUACUGCUUUGCCCAUAGCAUCACUAGGUCCAAGUCGUCCAUGCGCUACUCGUGCGCACGACUAGACCAAGGAACCAAAACCUUUAACCAGCCCGUAGACUACCUCUGCUUUUCCACCUUGCCUUACUAUAGGUCCGCGGGUCUAGUCCCCUGACCGGCGGUCCCACCCUAGGGUGACUGUACCUACCUGGGUACAACCACCUUCUCACUCAUGCAGAGGUAGCUACUUGGCAUGGGUAGUCGGUUCAGCCCGUCCCAUUCCAGGUCUAUGGUCAGUAUGGUUUGUGCCGCUUUUGACGUAAGCGCUAGUUGGUUGUGUCCUAAUGUAAUACGCUAUGUAGAGGAGUCUGCCAUCCAAGCCAACCCUAAACGGAUUGCCUUCACCAACAUGAGCUCCCCUACCCACCAAAUUUUUAUUUAUAAUGUAACCCUGCCCGAGUCACGACUACUUAAUAUAGAUACUUCACCUGAUCUGGUCCAAUUGCCAAAUCAGUGGAUCCACCUGAUCCAAAUUUCAUUUUAUUUAUGAAAUGUAUUUAUUUUUAGUUCUUAUGCAAAAUUUUGGAAAUGACCCAUAGCCCGGAAAACAUUUAUCAAGACAUGAUCAAGGAGAUGACGACUUGCCGGGUAGCGCUCCGACCAACUCGGAACCACCAGAUGUGGGUCCUAUGCCUGAUAAUUAUUUCACAAAGAAGUUUAUAUUUUUCCCUAAUCAAGAUCCAAGCAUCAAGUAACACUUCCAUACGGUGCAAUCCAUUUUAAUUAAAGAGGUAAUGAUACAUGCUAGUGUGUAAUUAGAAGCAAAAUGCAUACAUCACAUCAAGAAGUACUCCCUCCGUUCCAAAAUAAUUGUCUUUCUAGCCAUCUCAAAUGGACUACAACAUACGGAUGUAUGUAGACAUGCUUUAGAGUAUAGAUUCACUUAUUUUACUUCGUAUGUAGUGACUUGUUGAAAUCUCUAGAAAGACAAUUAUUUCGGAACGGAGGGAGUAGUACGCACGUGCACAUCACAAAGAGCAAGCAAGCAAGCUCAAAAGGAAAAAACGUGUUUAGCUGGUCGAACCCAACCCCGGCAGAAAUAUCAUUUCUUUUUUCUCCAACUAGUCAUCUUCCCCAGCUCUCUACCUCUCUCUCUCUCACUGUCACUGGUAUGCUCAGCCACGAACAGAACCAACUCCAUCUCUCUCUCCCUAACUACAGAGCAGGUCGCCGCCGGCUCGAUCUGCCACUUCCGGACAUCUCCGGCGACACCGUGGACACCCACAGAAUCCCCUCGACUCCCUCUACCAUAUCCCCCCAUUUAUUUGAUCCGCCGCCGCCAAAAUCGCCGCCACCCUCAAACCCCAGCGUCGUCUGCAUCGGGUCCGAUGGGUUCACCACGGGCCGCAGUAGCAAUGGCAUAUCCCUGCCUACAACCUCCUCCAGCAGAGCUGCACGCACGAGGCAUGCAACUACGGCCGUCGGGAGCGAGCAUCUUAACCGGCGCGGCUCCGGCAACAUGGCCGCUACCGGCGCCUGGCUCGCCUUUGUCUACUGCUACUAGUGUAAGUGUCAGUCCAAAUUUCUCUCUGUGCAGUGUUCUUACCUCUACUGCUAGUGUUUGUGCUAUGACUCCCCUUACUGCCAUGCUUCUUGUUAAUAUCAAGACCAAGGAAUUAAUCAAGCUUUACUCGAUGGUGUGGACGUGGUCUCCAGAUUUAUUCUAUAUUGUUUAUUCAAUUUUUAGCUCUACUACACUAUCCUCGCACUACUAUGAUUCUUUUUUAAUUAAGCUCAUAACUAGGAAUUAACCAGUGAAUUCCUACUAUUACCGACUUGAUCAAAAAGCGACAAGUUAAUUGCUUCUGAUAGUUAGGUGCUGCCACAAACUAAAUCUAAAUGUUGCUUCUACUGUGUGUGCGCGUGCACUCAUUUCUGGACCCUACAAUAGUCAAGUGAACAUUGACAUUGAUCACUCAAAACAUACUUAGAAAGGGGAUCAGGAAAGGGAAAAUAAAAGGAUAUCAGGAAUUUAUUUGUACAAGAUUUGCACAAAGUAUGUUUAUUUAUUUUUCUGUUUUCAGAAUGAGGCAUGUGCAAAUGAGACAUGGCAAACAUUAGCCAAACAAUGUUCAAUACAACUAGGAAGGGAUCAUUAAGAUGAGUAGCAUACACAGGAAGCUUGAGCUAUUAGCUGUACAUGUAAAUCUUAGCAAGUUAAUAUUUGGGGUUUAAUUCUCAGCAUGACAUGUCUAUUAUAUACAUAGAUUUAGUACAAGACAGAGAUGGACAUGCAUAGUACACAUGCAUCACUAAACCACCAUGUACCAAUUUGUCUUCAUCUAAUUUAUGUGCUUUCUUUUUCUAACCAUCAUUCUUCUUUUUACAAAGUAACUAGAGUCCAAAAGAUCAGGUGUUCAUGUUCUAAGCAAAGAUGAAGAUGGAUCAAGCAAACAAAGCUGCAAAAGCAAGGCACUUGAAUAGUACCUGAUGGCAACUCAGCAUCCGACCAAAAGAGUGGAUGGGGAUGGUGGGGAGAGCUUGGUUCUCUCUUGUGCGUGUUGUGUGCAGUAGAGGAAGUCAAAGGUGAAAGGAGGAGGCUGCUAUUUAUAGUAGUGUAGGGUGCUAGGUCGGUUUGGUAAAAGAGAGAUGUGGCUGACAUGCAUGGUUGCAUGAGCAUGCAAGCCUCCACAUGUAAUCAUGUGAGUUGUACAACGGACAAGUGUAUAGUGCAUGGUUCGACACGAGAUGGCAUAUAAUUUGUGUGUAAGGAAUGAGACAAGGGCCUAAUUAUAAAUCUGCAAACAAUAAGGGAGUUGGAGAAGAACCAUUGUACAUGGCUAAAUACUAACUUUUUUGGUUGCAAUAAAUUUUUGAUAUUAGUGUUGUGGUCAAUUAUAAUUAUUCAACUAACUAUGCCUUGUGACACUGGUGUAACAUAGCGCCGUCAAAAAUAUUGUUAUCUAAUUUUGAGGGUUUUUACAUCCCUUCCCCCUUCGAAAAAUUUCGUCCUCGAAAUUUGAGUUGUGACUCGUAUAGGCUGGCCCAAGUCUAACCCUCUCAGCCUAAUCAUGUAUAGGCUAGCAUUAAAGAUUAUACACUCAAUGCAUAUGGGAUUGUUGUGGAAGACAGGCUCAACAAUUAUUGGGCCUCCGAGUGAGUCUACUUCUAUGAGUUUGGCUAGGGAGGUUCGGUCCAGACUACAUGUCUCAGCAAAGUGUCGGGAUAUGAAAGGAUAUGUUGCCCUUGAUGUAAUAAAAUAAAUAAUAAUAAUACUAAGACUACUGCAAGAGGGAUUUAUAGGUUACUGAUGACCCACAAGUGUAGGGAAUCUAUCGUAGUCCUUUCGAUAAGUAAGAGUGUCGAAUCCAAUGAGGAGCAGAAGGAAAUGAUAAGCGGUUUUCAGUAAGGUUUUCUCUGCAAGUACUGAAACUGUAGGUGAUAGAUAGUUUUGUGAUAAGAUAAAUAGUAACGAGUAACAAGUAAAUAAAGUAAAUAAAGUGCAGCAAGGUGGCCCAAUCCUUUAUGUAGCAAAGGAUAAGCCUGGACAAUUUUUAAUAGUGAUAAAGGAGCUCCCGAGGAAAAAUUGGGAAUUAUCGUCAAGCUAGUUUUCAUCACGUUCAUAUGAUUCGCGUUCGGUACUUUGAUAACUUGAUAUGUGGGUGGACCGGUACUUGGUUACUGCCCUAACUUGGACAAGCAUCCCACUUAUGAUUAACCCCUAUUGCAAGCAUCCGCAACUACAAAAAGAAGUAUUAAGGUAAACCUAACCACAACAUUAAACAUAUGGAUCCAUAUAAGCCCCUAAUGAAGCAACGCAUAAACUACGGUUUAACCUUCUGUCACUCUAGCAACCCAUCAUCUACUUAUUACUUCCCCAUGCCUUCCUCUAGGCCCAAAUAAUGGUGAAGUGUCAUAUAGUCGACGUUCACAUAACACCACUAGAGGAAAAGACAACAUACAUCUCAUCAAAAUAUCGAAUGAAUACCAAAUUCACGUGACUACUAAUAGCAAGACUUCACCCAUGUCCUCAAAAACAAACGUAACUGCUCACAAAGCAUAUUCAUGUUCAUAAUCAGAGGAGUAAUAAUAUGCAUAAAGGAUCUGAACAUAUUAUCUUCCACCAAGUAAACCAAUUAGCAUCAACUACAAGGAGUAAUCAACACUACUAGCAACCCACAGGUACCAAUUUGUGGUUUUGAUACAAGAUUGGAUACAAGAGAUGAACUAGGGUUUUGGGAGGAGAUGGUGCCGGUGAAGAUGUUGAUGGAGAUUGACCCCCUCCCGAUGAGAGGAUCAUUGGUGAUGACGUUGGUGAUGAUUUACCCCUCCCGGAGGGAAGUGUCCCCGGCAGAAUAGCUCUGCCAGAGCCCUAGAUUGAUUCCGCCAAGAUUCCACCUCGUGGCGGCGGAGUUUCGUCCCGUAAGCUUGCCCACAAUUUUUUCCAGGGUAAAAGUGAUGAUAUGGCAGAAGAUGGACGUCGGAGGCCCACCAGGGGGCCUAGGAGAUAGGGGGCGCGCCCCCUGUCUCCUGGACAGGGUGUGGGCCCCCUGGCAUAUUUCAGGACUUUUGGAGCUGUGCAGAAUAGGUUUCCAACGUUUGCUCCUUUUCUAGCUAGAAUUUCAGCUGCCAGCAUUCCCCCUCUUCAUGGUAAACCUUGUAAAAUAAGAGAGAAUAGCCAUAAGUAUUGAGAUAUAAUGUGUAAUAACAACCCAUGAUGCAAUAAAUAUUGAUAUAAAAGCAUGAUGCAAAAUGGACGUAUCAACUCCCCAAGCUUAGACCUCGCUUGUCCUCAAGCGGAAGCCGAAAUUGAAAAAUAUGUCCACAUGUUUAGAGAUAGAGGUGUCGAUAAAAAUAAAAUAUGGACAUGAGGGCAUCAUGAUCAUUCUAAUAACAACUACAUACAUAAAUUUUGUCAUAUGAUUCUCUAUGCUCAAGAUACAAGCAAUUCAUAAUGUCAAGUAUGGUUCAAAAACUUCAUUGGGAACUAACAAACUAUGAUCUCAGUCAUUGAAGCAAUUGCAAUUUAUCGUAACAUCAGAAAGAGUCAAUAAUGGAGCUUUUCAGCAAGCUCACAUACUCAACUAUCUCUUAGUCUUCUACAAUUGCUAACACUCACACAGUACUUGUGGUUAUAGAGUUUCAGCCGGACACUGAGAAAGAUAGGGGCUUAUUGUGUUGCCUCCCAACGUAUUCACCUUUAGGUGAUGUCAACAAUAAUAGCCCAUGCUAACUUACAUCCAAUUGGAUAUAUAUAUAUCAUGAUCUUUCAAACACGAGGAGCUUGCCAAAGGAUAAAAUGAAAAAGGGACAGGUGAGGAUCACCUUGACUCAAGCAUAAAGUAAAAACAUAAAGUAAAAGAUAGGCCCUUCGCAGAGGGAAGCAGAGGUUGUCAUGUGCGUUUAGGGUUGAUGAACAAAAUCUUAAUGCAAAAGAACGUCACUUUAUAUUGCCCCUUGUAUGUGGACCUUUAUUAUGCAGUCCGUCGCUUUUAUUACUUCCACAACAAGUUCGUACAAAGCUUAUUUUCUCUGCACUAAUAAGUCAUACAUAUUUAGGUAGCAAUUUUAUCGCUUGCAACAUGACAACUUACUUGAAGGAUCUUACUCAAUCCAUAGGUAGGUAUGGUGGACUCUCAUGGCAAAACUGGGUUUAAGGGUAUUUGGAAGCACAAGUAGUAUCUCUACUUGGUGCAAGGAAUUUGGCUAGCAUGAGGGGGAAAGGCAAGCUCAAUAUGUUCGGAAGGUCAAUGACAAUAUACUUUAACUGAGAUGUCGGAAAACAUAGACCAUUACGUUGUCUUCCUUGUCCAACAUCAACUAUUUUAGCAUGUCAUACUUAAUGAGUGCUUCACAAUCAUAAAAGAUGUCCAAGAUAAUAUAUUUAUAUGUGAACCCCUCUUUCCUUAUCACUUCCUAUUAAUUGCAACGAUGACCAAGGCUACGUUCAUCAACUCUCAACAAUUUUUAUGCCUCAUACGUUCUAUGUGUGAAGUUAUCACUAUCCAUAAGAUCAAUAUGAACUCCAUUAUUCUUUCUACUUUCUCAAGAUCAUAGCAACAUAGCAAGGCCCUUGAAUCGACACUAAUCUUUAUUAUAGAUAACUCACGGACUCGAUUACAAAAAGAGAUCAAAAAGCAAAACUCGAAACUACUUGAUACCUAAAUUUCAAUCUACUAGAUCAAGAUACUACUAAAAGGAUCGAACUAAAUAAAACGGUAAAGAUAGGAGUGUGAUGGUGAUACGAUACCGGGGCACCUCCCCCCAAGCUUGGCAGUUGCCAAGGGGAGUGCCCAUAUCCAUGUGAUUAUGUCCUCGGAGGUGGUGAAGUAGGAGUUGUUGAUGAUGUAGGCUUGUCGUCCGUCUUCCAAGGCAUAGGCUCUCCAUCAUAAAAGGAUGAACGAGUCUCCGGGAUCCUUAAAUCUGCAGCCAAACUCAUUCGCUUGAAUCUAUAUUCAUACUCACAGUUCUGAUUUUGUAGGUCAUAGAUCUGGGAUUGGAGGUGCUCGAUUUUCUCUUGAAGCUUGAAGAUGGUCUCCCAAAUGACUUUAGCAUCUAGCUUGUGGUUGUUGGUGAACUCUGUGAUCAUCAUCUAGUUGGCGUUGAGUCCACGCUCCACCAUCCCUUGGCACUUUAAAACUUCCUGUUCCAUGGCUUCGAGCUUUGUCUCCACGCUCCCGGUAUGCCUUGGUCCCUCCACAUCGCGGAUGUGCAGCACCCCCUCACGCAUCUCAAUGGUUUGAGGAUGAUGCAGCACCUCCGCGAGAUAGGGGUUGAUAACCCUCUCGAAAAACUUGUCCUUGGGAGCGCUUGGAGACGCCAUGAUGCUCUAGAUCUGAAAUAGUAACAACUCGAAACGAAAACAGUGGAUAUUUGCGUGAUACGGUGGUCAAAACCUUCGGGAGUAUAUAUAAUGAAUUUUUAUCGACCAAAAUACAUAACGUGCAAGAAAACGGAGUCCGGGAGGCACACGAGGUGCCCACGAGACAGGGGGCGCGCCCUACAAGGGGGGGUGCCCUCCACUCUCGUGGGGGCCUCGUGUCCCUUUCUGACUACUUCUUUCUUCCUAAAAUUCUUAAAUAAUCCAAAACUGAUAAAAAUUGCCAUUAGAGUUGUUUUGGAGUCGGUUUACUUACCGUACCACAUACCGAUACCUUUUCGGAGUCUAGAACGUUCUGGAAAGUGUCCCUUAUGUAUUCCUCGGGGGUUACUGUUUCAAUAAUAUUAGUUUCAACAUUGAUAGGAUUACCUGAAAUAUAAUGUUUAUUUCUUUGACCAUUUACCACCCUCGGAUUUGUGCCUUCGAAGUUGUUGAUUUUAUAGCACCAGAACGAUAGACCUCCUCGAUAACGUAGGGACCUUCCCAUUUUGAGAGAAGUUUUCCUGCAAAAAAAAUUAAACGAGAGUUGAAUAAUAACACAUAAUCUCCUAUAUUAAACUCACGCUUUUGUAUCCUCUUAUCAUGCCAGCGUUUGACUUUUUCUGUGAAUAGCUUGGCAUUCUCAUAUGCUUGGGUUCUCCAUUCAUCAAGUGAGCUAAUAUCAAACAACCUCUUCUCACCGGCAAGUUUGAAGUCAUAAUUGAGCUCUUUGAUAGCCCAAUAUGCCCUAUGUUCAAGUUCAAGAGGUAAAUGACACGCUUUUCCAUAAACCAUCUUAUAUGGAGACAUACCCAUAGGAUUUUUGUAUGCAGUUCUAUAGGCCCAUAAUGCAUCAUCAAGUUUUUUGGACCAAUUCUUUCUAGAUCUAUUCACAGUAUUUUGUAAAAUUAAUUUGAGCUCUCUAUUGCUCAACUCUACAUGACCACUAGACUGCGGAUGAUAAGGAGAUGCUAUUCUAUGAUUGACAUCAUACUUAGCAAGCUUCUUACGGAAAGCACCAUGAAUAAAAUGUGAACCACCAUCAGUCAUAAGAUAUCUAGGGACUCCAAACCUCAGAAAAAUAACUUCUUUAAGCAUUUUAAUAGAAGUGUUAUGAUCAACACUACUAGUUGGAAUAACUUCUACCCACUUAGUAACGUAAUCAACAACAACUAAAAUAUGUGUAUAACCAUUAGAGGCAGGAAAAGGUCCCAUAUAAUCAAAGCCCCAAACAUCAAACAGUUCAAUAACAAGAGAAUAAUUCUUAGGCAUUUCUUGACGUCUACUAAUGUUACCUAUUCUUUGACAUUCAUCACAAGAUAAGACAAACUUACGAGCAUCUUUAAAGAGAGUAGGCCAAUAAAAACCAAAUUGUAGUACCUCGUGUGCAGUUCUAUCUCCAGCGUGGUGUCCCCCAUAAGAUUCAGAGUGACACUUGCAUAGAAUCUGUUCCUGUUCAUGCUCAUGCACCCAACGUCUAAUAACACCAUCUACUCCUUUAUAAAGGUGUGGAUCAUCCCAGAAGUAAUGUCUUAAAUCAUAAAAGAACUUUUUCUUUUGCUGGUAUGUGAAACUAGGCGGUAUAUAUUUAGCAACAAUGUAAUUAGCAUAAUCAGCAUACCAAGGAGCAGUACGAGAAGCAUUGACGACCGCUAAUUGUUCAUCAGGAAAGCUAUCAUUAAUAAGCAGUGGGUCAUCAAGAACAUUCUCUAACCUAGACAAGUUGUCUGCAACGGGGUUCUCAGCUCCCUUUCUAUCGAUAAUAUGCAAGUCAAAUUCUUGGAACAAGAGAACACAUCUAAUGAGUCUAGGCUUAGGAUCUUUAUUUUCCAUAAGAUAUUUAAUAGCAGCAUGAUCAGUGUGAAUAGUAACUUUGGAAUCAACAAUAUAAGGUCUAAACUUAUCACAUGCAAACACAACUGCUAAGAACUCUUUUUCAGUAGUAGCAUAAUUUCUCUGGGAAGUAUCAAGAGUCUUACUAGCAUACUGGAUAGCAUUCAAUUUCUUAUCGACUCUUUGCCCUAAAACAACACCUACAGCAUAAUCACUAGCAUCGCACAUAAUUUCAAAAGGUAAAUUCCAAUCAGGCAGCUGAACAAUAGGUGCAGUGAUCAAAGCUUUCUUAAGUACUUCAAAUUCUUCUACACAAUCAUCAUCAAAGAAAAGGAAUAUCUUUUUGCAAUAAAUUAGCCAGAGGCCUAGAGAUUUUAGAAAAGUCCUGAAUGAACCUCCUAUAAAAACCGGCGUGACCAAGGAAACUUCUUAUACCUUUUAUGUCCUUGGGACAUGGCAUCUUUUCAAUAGCAUCAUUGGCCUUAUCAACUUCAAUACUUCUCUCAGAGAUCUUGUGCCCCAAGACAAUGCCUUCAUUAACCAUAAAGUGACACUUUUCCCAAUUCAAGACGAGACUAGUGUCUUCGCAUCUCUGUAAAACUCGAUCAAGAUUGCUCAAACAAUCAUCAAAAGAGGAUCCAUAGACUGAGAAGUCAUCCAUGAAUACCUCACAAAUCUUUUCACAAAAAUCAGAGAAUAUAGCCAUCAUGCCUCUUUGAAAGGUUGCAGGUGUAUUACAUAAACCAAAAGGCAUAUGUCUAUAAGCAAAAGUACCAAAAGGGCAAGUAAAAGUAGUUUUAGAUUGAUCCUUCGCUGAUACAGGUAUCUGAGAGAAACCAGAAUAACCAUCUAGAAAGCAGAAAUGUGCGUGUUUGGAUAGUCUUUCUAGCACUUGAUCAAUAAAAGGUAAAGCAUAAUGAUCUUUCUUAGUAGCUUUAUUAAACUUACGGAAAUCAAUUACCAUCCUAUAACCUGUAAUAAUUCUUUGCGGGAUCAAUUCAUCUUUAUAAUUAGGAACAACGGUAAUACCUCCCUUUUUAGGAACACAAUGAACAGGGCUUACCCAUUCAGUAUUAGCAACGGGAUAAAUAAUACCUGCCUCAAGGAGUUUUAGUAUCUCCUUUCUUACCACUUCUUUCAUCUUGGGAUUUAAUCGUCUUUGAGGAUCUCUAACUGGUUUGGCAUCUUUCUCCACUGAAAUUUUAUGUUGACAUAAUGUGGGACUAAUGCCCUUAAGAUCAUCCAGAGUAUAUUCAAUAGUUGCUCGGUGCUUCUUCAGAGUUUUCAAUAAUCUUUCUUCUUCUUUCUCUGAAAUGUUAGCACUAAUAAUAACAGGAUAUAUUUCUUUUUCAUCAAGAUAAGCAUACUUAAGAUUAUCAAGUAAGGGUUUAAGUUCAAACACGGGAUCACCCUUGGGUGGAGGGGGAUCCCCAAGAAUUUCAACGGGAAGGUUAUGUUUCAGCAUAGGUUCCUGUUUAAGGAACACUUCAUCUAUUUCCUCCCUUUCCUUCAUAAACAUAUCAUUUUCAUGGUCUAGCAAAUAUUGUUCUAAAGGAUCGGUUUGAGGAACAGCAAUGGAAGCAAGACCAAUAAUUUCAUCCUUACUAGGUGGUUCCCUUUCACGAGGUUGUCUACUAAACUUAGCGAAAUUAAACUCAUGAGACAUACCAUCAAUGCCAACAGUGACAAUAUUCUUUUCACAAUUGAUCUUAGCACUAGCAGUAUUCAAGAAGGGUCUACCAAAAAUAAUGGGACAAAAAUCAUCUUGUGGGGAACCAAGAACAAGAAAACCAGCAGGGUAUUUAACUUUCCCACAAAAAACUUCAACAUCUCUAACAAUCCCAAUAGGUUUAAUGGUAUCCCUAUUAGCAAGCUUAAUAGUAACAUCAAUGUCUUCUAAUUCAACAGGUGCAAUGUCAUGCAUAAUUUCUUUAUAUAAAUCAUAAGGUAUAGCACUAGCACUAGCACCCAUAUCACAUAAGCCAUGAUAACAAUGGUCUCCUAUUUUAACAGAAAUAACAGGCAUGCCUACAACAGGUCUACGUGUCUUAGUAUCAGGUCUAGCAAUAUUGGCAGUCUCACCCAAGAAAGAAAUAACAUGCCCAUCUAAAUCCUCAUCCAAGAGAUCUUUAACCAUAGCAAUACUAGGUUCAACAUUAAUUUGCUCAGGAGGUGUAUAAGUCCUAGUAUUACUCUUAUGAACAACAGUCGAAGCAUUAGCAUGAUCUUUUAUCCUAACAGGAAAAGGAGGUUUUUCAACAUAAGCAGUAGGAACAAUAGGAUCACUAUAGGUAAUAGUCUUUUCUUCGACUGUAAUAGGUGCAACUACUUUCACUUCAACAGGAGGAUUAUAUUUAAACCACUUCUCUUUAGGGAGAUCAACGUGAGUAGCAAAAGAUUCACAGAAAGUAGCUACUAUCUCAGAGUCAAGUCCAUACUUAGCGCUAAAUCCACGGAAAGCAUAGGUAUCCAUAAAAGAUUUAACACAAUCGAACUUAGGUGUCAUACCUGACUCCUUACCAUCGUCGGAACCCCAAUAUUCAGAGUUGCGUUUAAUUCUUUCCAAUAAGUCCCAUUUGAAAUCAGUAGUCUUCAACAUAUAAGAACUAGCACAGGAAGUAUCGAGCAGGUUGCGAUUAUCAAGAGAAAGCCGAGCAUAAAGGUUCUGAAUAAUCAUUUCCCGAGAGAGCUCAUGAUUGGGGCAUGAAUAUAACAUUGACUUAAGCCUCCCCCAAGCUUUAGCGAUGCUUUCUCCUUCGCGAGGCAAGAAAUUAUAUAUGUAAUUACGAUCACGAUGAACAAGAUGCAUAGGAUAGAACUUUUGGUGAAAUUCCAACUUCAAUCGCUUAUAAUGCCAAGAUCCCAUAUCAUCACAUAUCCUAUACCAUAUAAAUGCAUCUCCCUUCAAAGAUAAAGGGAAGACCUUCCUUUUGACAACAUCAUCGGGAAUACCUGCAAGCUUAAAUAAUCCAUAAACUUCAUCCACAAAGAUAAGGUGUAAAUCGGGAUGCAAUGUUCCGUCUCCUGCAAAUGGAUUAGCUAGCAGUUUUCUAUCAUACCCGAAGGAAUCUCAAAGUAAAUAUUUUCAUAAAGUUCAGUAAGUUGAGAAGCAACUCUUUGCUCUUCUGGUUGGGGUGAAGAUACCCCAAACAAGCCCCUCAAAGGAUUAGUUUCCAUAGUGACAAGUAACAGAAAAUCUCAGCACACUAUAUAAAUGUUUCUUUACCAAGUUCCACUCACCAAAAGCGCUACACUCCCCGGCAACGGCGCCAGAAAAGAGUCUUGAUGACCCACAAGUGUAGGGGAUCUAUCUUAUUCCUUUCGAUAAGUAAGAGUGUCGAACCCAACGAGGAGCAGAAGGAAAUGAUAAGCGGUUUUCAGUAAGGUUUUCUCUGCAAGCACUGAAACUGUAGGUGAUAGAUAGUUUUGUGAUAAGAUAAAUAGUAACGAGUAACAAGUAAAUAAAGUAAAUAAAGUGCAGCAAUGUGGCCCAAUCCUUUAUGUAGCAAAGGAUAAGCCUGGACAAUUUCUAAUAGUGAUAAAGGAGCUCCCGAUGACACAUUGGAAAUUAUCGCCAAGCUAGUUUUCAUCACGUUCAUAUGAUUCGCGUUCGGUACUUUGAUAAUUUGAUAUGUGGAUGGACCGGUACUUGGGUACUGCCCUAACUUGGACAAGCAUCCCACCUAUGAUUAACCCCUAUCGCAAGCAUCUGCAACUACAAAAGAAGUAUUAAGGUAAACCUAACCACAACAUUAAACAUAUGGAUCCAUAUAAACCCCUAACGAAGAAACACAUAAACUAGGGUUUAAGCUUCUGUCACUCUAGCAACCCAUCAUCUACUUAUUACUUCCCCAUGCCUUCCUCUAGGCCCAAAUAAUGCCGAACUGUCAUGCAGUCGACGUUCACAUAACACCACUAGAGGAAAAGACAACAUACAUCUCAUCAAAAUAUCGAACGAAUACCAAAUUCACAUGACUACUAAUAGCAAGACUUCACCCAUGUCCUCAGGAACAAAUGUAACUACUCACAAAGCAUAUUCAUGUUCAUAAUCAGAGGAGUAAUAAUAUGCAUAAAGGAUCUGAACAUAUGAUCUUCCACCAAGUAAACCAAUUAGCAUCAACUACAAGGAGUAAUCAACACUACUAGCAACCCACAGGUACCAAUUUGUGGUUUUGAUACAAGAUUGGAUAUAAGAGAUGAACUAGGGUUUUGGGAGGAGAUGGUGCUGGUGAAGAUGUUGAUGGAGAUUGACUCCCUCCCGAUGAGAGGAUCGUUGGUGAUGACGUUGGUGAUGAUUUCCCCCUACCGGAGGGAAGUGUCCCCGGCAGAACAGCUCUACCAGAGCCCUAGAUUGAUUCCGUCAAGGUUCCGCCUCGUGGCGGCGGAGUUUUGUCCCAUAAGAUUGCCCACGAUUUUUUCCAGGGUAAAAUUGAUGAUAUAGCAGAAGAUAGACGCCGGAGGCCCAACAGGGGGCCCAGGAGAUAGGGGGUGCGCCCUAUAGGGGGGGCGCCCCCCUGUCUCCUGGACAGGGUGUGGCCCCCCUGGCAUAUUUCUUUCGCUCAGAAAUUCUUAUUAAUUCCAAAAAGUUGUUUCGUGGAGUUUCAGGACUUUUGGAGCUGUGCAGAAUAGGUUUCCAAUGUUUGCUCCUUUUCCAGCCAGAAUUCCAACUGUCGGCAUUCCCCCUCUUCAUGGUAAACCUUGUAAAAUAAGAGAGAAUAGCCAUAAGUAUUGAGAUAUAAUAUGUAAUAACAGCCCAUAAUGCAAUAAAUAUUGAUAUAAAAGCAUGAUGCAAAAUGGACGUAUCAGUUACCCGUGACCACGUCCGAAGCUGCAUUCACUUGUGUCGCAUCGAUGUGUUUCAGGUGGUAUGGUACACGUGCUAGACCACUAGGACCACGUCCGCGGCUAGCCACAAGCACAUUCGCACGUACUUGUGCUGAAUUAGCCCGAUGCUUGUUUUGAGGUGGGACAGUUCCACUCGUGCCAGGUUGUGGUUGACUCUUACUCAGGCAUUUGUUUUGUAGUGACCCUUUUGUCCACAACCAAAACAGACAACACUCGCCUUUGGGCAAUCUCGAGCGAUGUGUGGUCCACCGCACACAUGACACUUUAUAGGGGCUUUAGGAGGCAUAAAGGGUGGUCUAGGGGCUUGAGGGAGAGGAGGACAGAUGGGUCCGACCAUUGGUGGGCGGACUAGGCCAACAGAGUUGUAUCCACUCCUCAUGAGGAACCUCUGGUCCAUUCUAGAUUUCUUUCUCCGUUCUUCCUCUAUGGCUAAUUGCCGAUUCUCAAUAAUAAUGACUCGAUCUACUAGCUCCCGAAACUUAGUUAUAUUUAUAGGGGCUAUGAUCAGCUGUAUGGAUGGCUUCAAUCCUUCUAUGAACCGGUACACCCUUUUGGUCUCAGUGUUUGUGUCUUCUGAUGCAUAGCGGGAUAGUGAGUUAAACUCAUCUAGGUACUCUGCGAUGGUUUUAGACCCUUGUUUAAGGCUUAGGAAUUUCUUACUUUUUAGUUCCAUCGCACUUUGCGGGACAUAGUUAUCUCGGAAUCUCCUCUUAAAUUCCUCCCAAGUAACUAUGUGGUUUUCGGGUAUGAUAAUUUGGACAUUUCUCCACCAUGUGGCAGCAGGACCAAUUAACCGAUGGGAUGCAUACCGAACUUUUUCUUGAUCCGUGCAUCCCACAGUGUUAAGUUUCAGCUCUAUGUCCAUCAACCAAUCCUCUGCGGCUAAUGGAUUGUGGCGGUUGAAAAGGUUGGUGGUCUAGUCUUUUGGAAGUCUCCAAUCGUGACACCUUGUUCUGGGUUUUUAGUCAGUUGGCCUCUCGUCACACUGAACAUCUGCUCCAUGAACUUAUUCUGGUGUUCUAGAGAGUCUCGAUGAGACUGCUCCAUCCACUGAUACAUUAGAGCAAGUUGAUCGGAUCCAGGGGCAUGAUGGGGUAAUGGUGGAGGUGGAGGUAACGUCACUCUAGACAACAAAUCUGCCAUGUUCCUUAGCCACUCGGGUGCUAAAUCUGAUGGGUUCCCAUUGUCUUCGAAUGACUGACUACCAGAUGCCAUCGCUACCGAUCUGGUGGGCAAGGCAUAGGUUAUAACGAUAGCUACUACAUGUGAAAAUAUUUUAUUUAUUUGAUUAGAGGUGAGAUUUUAGCCCACACAGUACACUUCACGCUUCCUUUUUUGGAGCAUCUAUUUAAACAGUGCACUUAACAGCGACAUACUAGAAAAUUUUGCGAAACAUUUUUUUACUUGUUGUUGGCCGAAGAAUAAAAGCAGUCAAACAAAGUGAUUCUUUUUAUCAUGACAGAGGCAAGAGAUUAAUCACAAUUCAAAAAUAGAGCCACUUGCACAUGCACAUGCACACACAAGUUCUUCAUGUACCGGAUUAAAAGCAUUCAAUCAUCAAGUGCGUGACAUACAUCAAUUGAACUCAUGAAGUGCUAGGAAAAAUGUAGCGGCAUCAGCACAUAAUAUAUAUACUAGCCCAACACGUGAUGUACCAAGGCAUGGACUGGAAUGAAGAGAUCACCCGAAAAAAUCUACCAUACAUCAGACGCCAUUAUGAAGCAUUGGCAACAACGUGGCAACAACAUCACAUACAGUAUUCCAUCAUACAGAGCAAGGAGCAUAAAAAGAACCAGAAUUUAAAAUGACAUGGCAUAUGCGUCACACGAGAUCACCUAGUAGUAGAAUAUCAGUACAUCCAUAAGUCCACCGGUCCACAUGAAUACAUCACAUAACAUAAUCGCAACACCACACAUGACUAUUUGUCGUACCAUCAGGUUACCAUGACUAUCUAUAUAUGUACCUAGAAAAAAAGUAUAUAUGUCUCCCUAUCUGCCUGUCGGGACCAAUCUGGGUAAAUAUGGUUGUGUAAACUCUAGAAGGGUAGCUAUGUCUACAAGACCUUUCUAAUUAUGUACAAAAUCCAAAAGGACAACCUCCAUGCAUCUGCCUAAACAUCUAAUAAGUGGUGGAACUAACUCUGCGAGGAGUAACUAUCUAGCAUGAUGCCACAACCUUGUUAGAAAACUAACUACUACUACUAAUAGUACGAAGUCAAUCCUCCCUGAUGAGAAGACUAGGUGAAAUGGUGAGGAGCAAGUCGGGGUUGAGGACAGAAGUCGGUGAAGGUAUAGACUGACUGGGUGCGGUGCCUCUGAAGAGUGCCUACUUGGUCUAACAGGUCCUGAACAAGCUGAGGUGUAGGUGGACACCUGUACGGUGUAGAGGGACGAGACACUGCUCGAGCGGGGGAACCCCUAAAAACUCUAGGAGUUGGGCAGUCUGCACGAGGGGGUGGAACUGCUUGGUACAAAUGAGGAAGAGCGGCAGUCAGAGUUAGUGGUGGUAAAAACGUGAGAGGUAAAACAGGAGGACGUGGUGGAAGUGGAAGGAAAGCAAAAGUGGACGCAAAAUGGUGAAGGAGCGACAGUGGGUGGAGGUGCUGACGAAUUCCCUGAUUACUCUUAUUGAUGAGCCAAUUGCCUCUACCACGCAAACAAGGAGAAGGUGGCAGGCAUGGAAAAUAUGUAAAGUGGCAUUCCAUGCCGCACCCUAAAGUGCUGAAGCAAAGUUGUAUUGUGCGACACUAUGCCUAGAUGGGACAUCUAAGCCCUCGGGUAUGUGCACUGUGACUAAGUACCCCGUGGAAUGAUACGUCUCUAAAGUAUCUAUAAUUUUUGAUUGUUCCAUGCUAUUACAUUACCCCUUUUGGAUGUUUAUGGGCUUUAUUUUACACAUUUAUAUCAUUUUUUGGGACUAACCUACUAACCGGAGGCCUAGCCCAUAUUGCUGUUUUUUGCCUAUUUCAGUAUUUCGAAGAAAAGGAAUAUCAAACGGAGUCCAAACGGAAUGAAACCUUCGGCAACAUGAUUUUUUGGAAGAAUAUGAUCCUGGAGACUUCGAGUCCAUGUCAGAAGAUCCUCGAGGGGGCCACGAGAUAGGAGGUCACGCCCCCCUUACAGGGUGGUGGCCUCCUAUCUCGUGGGCCCCUCGAGCACCUCCCGACUGACUUCUUUCGCCUAUAUAAGCCUACGUACCCUAAAACCAUCAAAAAUCAAGAUAGAUUGGGAGUUCCGCCGCCGCAAGCCUCUGUAGCCACCAAAAACCUCUCGGGAGCCUGUUCCGGCACCCUGCCGGAGGGGGAAUCCAUCACCGGUGGCCAUCUUCAACAUCCCAGCGCUCUCCAUGACGAGGAGGGAGUAGUUCACCCUUGGGGCUGAGGGUAUGUACCAGUAGCUAUGUGUUUGAUCUCUCUCUCUCUCGUGUUCCCUCUAUGGCACGAUCUUGAUGUAUCCCGAGCUUUGCUAUUGUAGUUGGAUCUUAUGAUGUUUCUCCCCCUCUACUCUCUUGUGAUGAAUUGAGUUUUCCUCUUAAAGUUAUCUUAUCGGAUUGAGUCAUUUAUUUGAGAACACUUGAUGUAUGUAUUGCCCUGUUUAUCUGUGAUGGCAAUGAGAUAUCACGUGCCUCUUGAUGUAUGUUUUGGUGACCAACUUGCCGGUUCCGCCCAUGAACCUAUGCAUAGGGGUUAGCACACGUUCUUGACUCUCCGGUAGAAACUUUGGGGCACUCUUUGAAGUACUUUGUGUUGGUUGAAUUGAUGAAUCUAAGAUUGUGUGAUGCAUAUUGUAUAAUCAUGCCCACGGAUACUUGAGGUGACAAUGGUGUAUCUAGGUGACAUUAGGGUUUUGGUUGAUUUGUGUCUUAAGGUGUUAUUCUAGUACGAACUCUUGAAUAGAUUGAUCUAAAAGAAUAACUUUGAGGUGGUUUCGUACCCUACCAUAAUCUCUUCGUUUGUUCUGCGCUAUUAGUGGCUUUGGAGUGACUCUUUGUUGCAUGUUGAGGGAUUUUUAUAUGAUCUAUCUAUGUUAUUAUUGUUGAGAGAACUUGCACUAGUGAAAGUAUGAACCCUAGGCCUUGUUUUCUAUCAUUGCAAUACCGUUUACACUCACUUUUAUCAUUAGUUACCUUGCUGUUUUUAUAUUUUCAGAUUAGAAAUACCUAUAUCUACCAUCCAUAUUGCACUUGUAUCACCAUCUCUUCGCCGAACUAGUGCACCUAUACAAUCUACCAUUGUAUUGGGUGUGUUGGGGACACAAGAGACUCUUUAUUAUUUGGUUGCAGGGUUGUUUGAAAGAGACCAUAUUCAUCCUACGCCUCCUACGGAUUGAUAAACCUUAGGUCAUCCACUUGAGGGAAAUUUUCUACUGUCCUACAAACCUGUGCACUUGCAGGCCCAACAACGUCUACAAGAAGAAGGUUGUGUAGUAGACAUCAAGCUCUUUUCUGGCGCCGUUGCCAGGGAUGUUAGCGCUUGAAGGUAUAUCUUUAGAUCUUGCAAUCGAAUCUUUUUGUUUCUUGUUUUAUCACUAGUUUAGUUUAUAAAAGAAAACUAUAAAAAAAUGGAGUUAAGUUUGUCUCAUAUUAUCUUUUUAAUAUCUUUCGUGAGCAUGAUGGAAAGGAAAAUUGUGCUCAAGUGCUAGAAGAAGAAUGCAUUAAAAUGCUUGGUAGUAAAUCUUUGAAUGAUGAGCAUGAUUGCAAUGUUGUUAGUAUGAAUUCCUUGAAUAUCCAUGAUGCUAAUGAUAUGCAAAGCCACAAGCUUGGGGAAGAUAUGUUUGAUGAAUAUGAUAUAUUUUGUCCCCCAAGCUUUGAUGAGCAAAUUUAUUUUGAUGAUAGCAUGCCUCCUAUUUAUGAUGAUUAUAUUGAUGAAAGUGGGUUUGGAAGAGUGACAACUUUAGGAAGUAGUGAUCCCACUAUUUUGGAGGAUGUUGAAUCUUAUUACGAUGAACAUGAAAGUGGAUUUGGAAGAGUGUAAACUUUAUUUAGUGAUGAAUCCACUAUUUCGGAAGAGGUUCCAAUUGAUUAUGAGAACAAAGUUGCUAUCUAUGAUGAUUAUUGUGAUGACUUGUAUGCUAUUAGGAAUAAUGAUAACCAUGAAACUUGUCAUCAUGAUUUUAGUUUUGAAUUGGAUUAUGCCUCACAUGAUAAUUAUUUUGUUGAGUUUGCUCCCACUAUUAUUCGUGAGAAGAAAUUUGCUUAUGUGGAGGGUAGUAAAUUUUAUAUGCUUCUAGAUCAUGAAAAGAAUGCUUUAGAUGCUGGUUAUAUUGUUGAAUUCAUUCAUGAUGCUACUGAAAAUUAUUAUGAGGGAGGAACAUAUGCUUGUAGGAAUUGCAAUAACGUCAAGUUUCCUCUCUAUGUGCUUACAUUUUUGAAGCUAUGCUUGUUUUACCUUCCUAUGGUAGUUGAUUAUUGUUCCCAUAAGUUGUUUGCUCACAAAAUCCCUAUGCAUAGGAAGUGGGUUAGGCUUAAAUGUGCUAGUCAUAUGCUUCAUGAUGCUUCCGUUAUGUUUCAAUUCUUAUCUUUUUGUGAGCAUCAUUGUCAUCAUCAUGCCUAGCUAGAAAAGCAUUAAAGAAAAGCGCUUGUGGGAGACAAUCCAAUAUUUAUCCUUACUGUUUUUGUGUGUCCACAUGAUUAUGCUACUGUAGUAAUCAUGUUUUAUAGCUUUUGUUUCAAUAAAGUGUCAAGUAAGACCUUUAGGAUAGCUUAUGGUGAUAGUUGUGUUGAUCCUGCUGAAAAUCAGAAACUUUUUCACCCAGUAAUUUAGUUUUUUUAAUUCACAGAAACGUUCGUCUAGUCUGAUUCUUUUUUCUUUGGAUUGGUACACAAAUUUCUUAGAACUUCCUAAUGUUGUAGGAUUUUUGGAGUUCCAGAAGUAUACGUUUGAUACAGAUUACUACAGACUGUUCUAUUUUUGACAGAUUCUAUUUUCUAUGUGUUGUUUGCUUAUUUUGAUGAAUCUAUGAGUAGUAUCGUAGGAUAUGAACCAUAGAUAAGUUGAAGUACAGUAGAUAUUACACCAAUAUGAAUUUAGAAUGAGUUCAUUACAGUACCUAAGCGGUGGUUUUAGUUUCUUAUACUAAAGGAGCUUACGAGUUUUCUGUUGAGUUUUGUGUUGUGGAGUUUUCAAGUUUUGGGUAAAGAUUCGAUGGACUAUGGAAUAAGGAGUGGCAAGAGCCUAAGCUUGGGGAUGCCCAAGGCACCCCAAGUUAAUAUUCGAGAAUAGCCAAAAGCCUAAGCUUGGGGAUUCCCCAGAAGGCAUCCCCUCUUUCGUCUUCGUUCAUCGGUAACUUUACUUGGAGCUAUAUUUUAUAUUCACCACAUGAUAUGUGUUUUGCUUGGAGCGUAAUUUUCUUUUCUUAGUAUUUUCUUGCUGUUAUUUAGAAUAAUGUUUUGCAUCUUUAGUUUCAAUAAAAAAGUCAAGGAUAGCCUUUGCCAUGCUUAUUUUGCUAUUAUACAUGUUGCUGUUUGAAAACAGAAAGUUUACUGCUGUUGCGAAAAUUCCCUAGAAAAGUCAGAGAAUGGUAUAAUGUUGAAACCUUUUGCAUGAUGAGAUCUGAUAAAUUUACUACAGUGGGAAUUUUAUUUCAUAAUUUUUGGAGUUAGGAAAGUAUGGAUACUCUUGCAUUUUUUACAGACUGUACUGUUUUGGCAGAUUGCUGUUAUGUUUGCAUUGUUUGCAUAUGUUUGCUUGUUUAAUAAUUCUAUUUGAGGAUAGGAAUAUUAAAUAUGCAGAGGCAUUUAGUAUGAAAUGUUGAACAAUAAUUUUAUUGAUUUGUUAUAGUAGAAUAUGAUAAGGUUUUGCAUUGGUUUGUACUAACCUAUCUCACGAGUUUUUGUUGAGUUUGUUGUGAAUGAAGCUUUUGAGAAAUAGAGAAUUCAUGAUAUGAGAGAAAUUAAGGAGACACAAAAGUUCAAGAUUAGGGAUGCCCAAGGCACUCCAACAUAAUAUUCAAGAAGUCUCAAGCAUCUAAGCUUGGGGAUGCCCGGUAGGCAUCCCACCUUUCUUCUUCAACAACUAUCGGUUAGUAUCGGUUGAGCCUAAGUUUUUGCUUCUUCACAUGAGUUGUGCUAUCCUUAAAAUGUCAUUUUAUUUUAUUUUGUUUGCUAUUUGAAUAAGAUACCAAGAUCUAAAAUUUCUUAAUGUUAGAAAGUCUUCACAUAUUUGCACAAUUAUUCGACUACUCAUUGAUCUUCAUAUAUCUUUCGGAGUAGUUUGUCAUUUGCUCUAGUGCAUCACUUAUAUCAUUUAGAGCACGGAGGUGGUUAUAUUUUGUAUAAAUUGUUGACCUCUCAUGCUUCACUUAUAUUAGUUUGAGAGUCUUUUAGAGCAGCAUGGUAUUUGCUAUGAUUACAAAGUUGGUCCUAGAAUGAUGAGCAUCCAAGUUGGGUAUAAUAAAAACUAUCAUAGAAAGUGAAUUGGAUGCUAUGAUCAACUUGAUGCUUGAUAAUUGUUUUGAGAUGUGGAGGAAGUGACAUUAAAGGCAUGCUAGUUGGGUGAUUAUGAAUUUAAAGAAUGCUUGUGUUGAAGUUUGUGAUUCCCAUAGCAUGCACGUAUGGUGAACCACUUUGUGAUGAAGUUGGAGCACAAUUUUAUUUAUUGAUUGUCUUCCUUAUGAGUGGCUGUCGGGGACGAGUGAUGGCCUUUUCUUACCAAUCUAUCCCCCUAGGAGCAUGCGCGAAGUGCUUUGGUUUUUGAUGACUUCUAGCAACAAGUAUAUGAGUUCUUUUGAUUAAUGUUGAGUCCAUGGAUUAUACGCACUCCUUCACCCUUCCACCAUUGCUAGCCUCUCUUGUACCGUGCAACUUUUGCUGGUACCAUACACCCAUCAUAGUCCUUCCUCAAAACAGCUACCAUACCUACCUAUUAUGGCAUUUCCAUAGUCAUUCCGAGAUAUAUUGCCAUGCAACUUUCCACCGUUCCGUCCAUAUGACACGCAUUACUUUUGUCAUAUUGCUUUUUGCAUGAUCAUGUAGUUGAUAUUGUAUUUGUGGCAAGGCCACCUUCAUAAUUUUCAUACAUGUCGCUCUUGAUUCAUUGCAUAUCCCGGUACACCGCCGGAGGCAUUCAUAUAGAGUCAUAUCUUGUUCUAUCUUUGAGUUGUAAAUCCAUAAAAGUGUGAUGAUCUUCAUUAUUAGAGCAUUGUCCUAGUGAGGAAAGGAUGAUGAAGACUAUGAUUCCCCACAAGUCGGGAUGAGACUUCGGACUUUACAAAAAGAAAAAAAGGAAAACAAGAGAAAGGCCAAAAAGAAAAAAGAAAAAAAAAGAGAAGGCCAAAGAAAAGAAAAAAAAAGAAGAAAAAGAAGAUAGAAAGGACAAUGCUACUAUCUCUUUUUCCACACUUGUGCUUCAAAAUAGCACCAUGAUCUUCAUGUUAGAGAGUCUCAUAUGUUGUCACUUUCAUAUACUAGUGGGAAUUUUUCAUUAUAGAACUUGGUUUGUAUAUUCCAAUGAUGGGCUUCCUCAAAAGUGCCCUAGGUCUUCAUGAGCAAGCUAGUUGGAUGCACCCCACUUAGUUUCUUUUGUUGAACUUUCAUACAUUUAUAGCUCUAGUGCAUCUGUUGCAUGGCAAUCCCUACUCACUCACAUUGAUAUCUAUUAAUGGGCAUCUCCAUAGCCCGUUGAUACGCCUAGUUGAUGUGAUACAAUCUUCUCCCUUUUUUGUCUUCUCCAUAACCACCAUUCUAUUCCACAUAUAAUGCUAUGUCCAUGGCUCACGCUCAUGUAUUGCGUGAAAGUUGAAAAAGUUUGAGAAUAUUAAAGUGUGAAACAAUUCCUUGGCUUGUCAUCGGGGUUGUGCAUGAUUAAAUACUUUGUGUGAUGAAGAUAGAGCAACAGCCAGACUAUAUGAUUUUGUAGGGAUAACUUUCUUUAGCCAUGUUAUUUUGAGAAGACAUGAUUACUUUGAUUAGUAUGCUUGAAGUAUUACUAUUUCUUAUGUCAAUAUGAACUUUUAUUUUGUAUCUUUUGGAUCUGAACAUUCAUGCCACAAUAAAAAAAUUACAUUGAGAAUUAUGCUAAGUAGCAUUCCACAUCAAAAAUCUGUUUUUAUCAUUUACCUACUCGAGGACGAGUAGGAAUUAAGCUUGGGGAUGCUUGAUACGUCUCUAACGUAUCUAUAAAUUUUGAUUGUUCCAUGCUAUUAUAUUACCCCUUUUGGAUGUUUAUGGGCUUUAUUUUACACAUUUAUAUCAUUUUUGGAACUAACCUACUAACCGGAGGCCCAGCCCAUAUUGCUGGGUUUUUUUUGCCUAUUUCAGUAUUUCGAAGAAAAGGAAUAUCAAACGGAGUCCAAACGGAAUGAAACCUUCGGCAGCGUGAUUUUUUGGAAGAAUAUGAUCCUGGAGACUUGGAGUACACGUCAGAAGAUCCUCGAGGAGGCCACGAGAUAGGAGGCCGCGCCCCCCUUACAGGGUGGUGGCCCCCUAUCUCGUGGGCCCCUCGAGCACUUCCCGACCGACUUCUUUCGCCUAUAUAAGCCUACGUAUCCUAAAACCAUCAAAAAUCAAGAUAGAUCGGGAGUCCCGCUGCCUCAAGCCUCUAUAGCCAGCAAAAACCUCUCGGGAGCCCGUUCCGGCACCCUGCCGGAGGGGGAAUCCAUCACCAGUGGCCAUCUUCAUCAUCCCGGCGCUCUCCAUGAUGAAGAGGGAGUAGUUCACCCUCGGGGCUGAGGGUAUGUACCAGUAGCCAUGUGUUUGAUCUCUCUCUCUCUCUCGUGUUCUCUCUCGUGUUCCCUCUAUGGCACGAUCUUGAUGUAUCCCGAGCUUUGCUAUUGUAGUUGGAUCUUAUGAUGUUUCUCCCCCUCUACUCUCUUGUGAUGAAUUGAGUUUCCCUCUUGAAGUUAUCUUAUCGGAUUGAGUCUUUUAUUUGAGAACACUUGAUGUAUGUAUUGCCCUGUUUAUCUGUGGUGACAAUGGGAUAUCACGUGCCUCUUGAUGUAUGUUUUGGUGACCAACUUGCGGUUCCGCCCAUGAACCUAUGCAUAGGGGUUGGCACACGUUCUUGACUCUCCGGUAGAAACUUUGGGGCACUCUUUGAAGUACUUUGUGUUGGUUGAAUUGAUGAAUCUGAGAUUGUGUGAUGCAUAUCGUAUAAUCAUGCCCACGGAUACUUGAGGUGACAAUGGAGUAUCUAGGUGACAUUAGGGUUUUGGUUGAUUUGUGUCUUAAGGUUUUAUUCUAGUACGAACUCUUGAAUAGAUUGAUCCGAAAGAAUAACUUUGAGGUGGUUUCAUACCCUACCAUAGUCUCUUCGUUUGUUCUCCGUUAUUAGUGGAUUUGGAGUGACUCUUUGUUGCAUGUUAAGGGAUUGUUAUAUGAUCUAUCUAUGUUAUUAUUGUUGAGAGAACUUGCACUAGUGAAAGUAUGAAUCCUAGGCCUUGUUUCCUAUCAUUGCAAUACCGUUUACGCUCACUUUUAUCAUUAGUUACCUUGCUGUUUUUAUAUUUUCAUAUUAUAAAUACCUAUAUCUACCAUCCAUACUGCACUUGUAUCACCAUCUCUUCGCCGAACUAGUGCACCUAUACAAUCUACCAUUGUAUUGGGUGUGUUUGAGACACAAAAGACUCUUUGUUAUUUGGUUGCAGGGUUGUUUGAGAUAGACCAUCUUCAUCCUACGCCUCCUACGGAUUGAUAAACCUUAGGUCAUCCACUUGAGGGAAAUUUUCUACUGUCCUACAAACCUGUGCACUUGCAGGCCCAACAACGUCUACAAAAAAAAAGGUUGUGCAGUAGACAUCAUGGAACACGGGUCAUGAAACACUUUGUAGUACGGUGCAAGCAACACAACAAGAAUACGAAGAAGCACAAUCAAGAAUAGAGCAAAACCACAGUACUCGACACCCGUACGACACAAUCUACCACUCAACAUCCUACAUUAAGAAAUUAAGAAUUUAGUACUGAUUUAGGACAAAAUAAGUACGUAUAUUCUGAACACAUUUUACUUGCAUAAUUCUAAGUAUGAGGUUUAAUUUAUUUAAUCUACUCUUGACUUGAGUCACUUUUUUUCAAAGAGUAUAUAUAGGAGACGUAGAACUUGAGAUGACAAGAGAUGGAUUUUUUUGAGAAACUUUUAUUUUCUUUAGGUAAGGAGGGAACCUGUCUUUUCUAAGGCUUAACAGACUCUAACUAAGUACAUGACUCUUUCCUUAACGAUGCUCUGAUACCACCUCUUCUGUGACGCCCUGUUACGUCCAACAGAGUUAGGCGUAACGGAAGCCGUCACUUCAGAGUUGCGCCAGGAUCAGUUAAGGAAAAUAGUAUCAUGUACAAGACGGAGCAACUGCCAUGAGUAGGCAAGCUUUUAUUACAUAGACACCUCAAGUGUCGACUAAGCCUAAGCGACCAUGACGAUAGAUCGUCACCCGCUUCUAGUGCGAGCCUUCUAGACCAACCAUGGAGGACAUCUACUCUUCAUAGACUUGAUUGCCAACAUCCUCAUGAUCAUACUUCACUUCAGAAUAACCAUAGUCGUCAAGAUGACCAGAC
rnacentral:lncRNA from 1 species